CGCAGCCAUAUGCCAAAAAACCUAAAUAAGAUAUUUUUCCCAUUUUAUUUCCCCUUUGUUCGUUAUUUGGUUCAGUUUAAUCAGAGCAACCUUGUGUUACGUUGUUCCCUUGUUAGUUUAGUAUAAAGUUAAACUGCUAGCUAAAAGUUUAAAACCAAGAAGGAUAAUUUUAACAGGAGAUAUGAAAGAAUUGAACCAUGAUAAAACGCGACAUGCACUACAAAUUGAAGGUAUGAAAUUAAGUUAAAUGAAAGCUCGUUUAUUCACCAUAUGAUGCUCGUUAUAAGGUAAUCAUAUAGGCUAGAUACCGUGAGUUAACGAGGUCGUUUACAUGCACGUGAGUGCACGGAUAUCGGUUAAUUAUUCAAAUUACUGAAAAACACGGAGAAAACCGCAACCGCAUCGUCAUGUGUUUUUCUAAGAUGUAUGCAAACAGGGGAAAUAUCGCCAAACCAACAAUUAAUUUGACCAAAACCUCACAAUAUAUCAUCAUUUGUAUGCACAGAUUGCUGGAUUGUGUGUUGUAAGCUUUUCGUGGCGCUAGAUGUCAGACAGAUGCAAAUGGCAAAUACAUACGGAAGUGUAAAACGUGUAUGGCGAACAUUUGUUUUUUUCUGUCAUUAUAGAUGCUAGUUUGGUGAAAGUUCACACUGAGUGCUUCAAAUCAUUCAGAAGAGAUGCUGUUUUUAGGGCAGUUUAUUAAAGAAGACCUGACAUGGAUGACUUCCAAUGAGAAACGACUGCUAAUACUUAUAUAAAUUCAUUACAGAAGGACCCUACCAGACUAUAUUUGAAUACGGCAUACCCAUGAAUUCUGGAACUGUUAUUCCUUAACCCAGUUUGGAGGAUAAGAGCUUACCAACUAGUUAUAAAUAUGCUGAGGUGAUGUAUUGCAAAAUAGCCAACAUACAACAAUAUGGAUGACCCUCUGUCUGGUCAACAGGAGUUUAAAUAUGGACGGGACAGUGAUGUGGCAGCUCUUCCCUGGCUCAUUCACCUCUUGCCUUUCAUUUGUGAAAGGAAAAAAGAAGAAAGAAGAAAGAGGGUCAAUGUGCAACUGAAGCUACUGAUUGUGCUGUGUGAUGAGCAUCAAUCCAUGCUUUGAGGGGAAUGAAUCAGCACAGCCCUGCCUGCACUGUGUUGGGAACAGAAGUUGCAUCCAGAAUUUUUGCAUCAUUCUGGACCAAAAAGCCAUUCCCUCCAUGAUGAAGACCACUGAUGCAGCCUUCCGCUACAUCAUGAGUAAAACAACUACAGAACUAAAUACCAGGUUGGAACGUAUUUAAGAAAAAUGAAACGUCUUUUGAAUUGAAAUGUCUGUUUUGUUAUGGAAAAAUCUUUAGUAUUGUGAAGGAUAAGCAUUUCUGCCUGCCAGUAAGGUAAUGCAGUGUAUUUUAAUGUUCAAGUUUUGAGUAGGGUGGCUAAUUUUUUUUAACUCUCAUUUGAUUUAUUAAAGACCUUAUAAUAAGUGGUUUUCAUGUCACUGCGCUGUGGUAUAAGAUAACUUUCAUUAUUCCAUACUGUAUUCGGUUUCUAAUUGUAGCUGAGGUAUUUAAAUAAGCAGUGUUAAAUGCAAAGUGUUGUGUGUAUCAAUGUAAAUAUUAAAUGUGAUGUACUUUAAUAAAAAGAGGUUUUGCAAUA